rnacentral:snoRNA from 1 species
UUUAAAAAUGCUCCUGGUUCCAGUCUGAUAACUGUGACUGAAAGGUAUUUUCUGAACUGAA